rnacentral:tRNA from 1 species
GCCUGGUUGGCUCAUUUGGUAGAGCAUGUGACUCUUGAUCUCAGGGUCAUGAGUUCAAGCCCCACAUUGGACA